rnacentral:rRNA from 1 species
AGAGUUUGAUCCUGGCUCAGAACGAACGUUGGCGGCGUGCUUAACACAUGCAAGUCGAACGAGAAAGUUCCUUCGGGAACGAGUAAAGUGGCGCACGGGUGAGUAACACGUAGAUAACCUGUCCAGGUGUUCGGGAUAGCCCUUCGAAAGGGGGAUUAAUACCGGAUACGUUAGUUUGUCAUAAGGCAGAUUAAGAAAGGUGGCCUCUAUUUAUAAGCUAUCGCAUUUGGAGGGGUCUGCGUACCAUUAGUUUGUUGGUGGGGUAAUGGCCUACCAAGACUUCGAUGGUUAGCGGGUCUGAGAGGAUGAUCCGUCACACUGGCACUGAAACACGGGCCAGACUCCUACGGGAGGCAGCAGUGAGGAAUAUUGCGCAAUGGGGGAAACCCUGACGCAGCGACGCCGCGUGGGUGAGGAAGGCUUUCGGGUCGUAAAGCCCUGUCAGGUGGGAAGAAAUGUGUAUAGGUUAAUACCCUUUACAUUUGACGGUACCACCAAAGGAAGCACCGGCUAACUCCGUGCCAGCAGCCGCGGUAAUACGGAGGGUGCAAACGUUGUUCGGAAUCACUGGGCGUAAAGGGCGC